rnacentral:rRNA from 1 species
UACGAAGGGGGCUAGCGUUGUUCGGAAUUACUGGGCGUAAAGCGCACGUAGGCGGACUACUAAGUCAGGGGUGAAAUCCCGGGGCUCAACCCCGGAACUGCCUUUGAUACUGAUAGUCUCGAGUCCGGAAGAGGUGAGUGGAAUUCCGAGUGUAGAGGUGAAAUUCGUAGAUAUUCGGAGGAACACCGGUGGCGAAGGCGGCCUGCUGGGCAGUUGCUGACACUGAGGCGCGACAGCGUGGGGAGCAAACAGG